GACGAACGCUGGCGGCGUGCCUAACACAUGCAAGUCGAACGAAGUGGCGAACGGGUGAGUAACGCGUAAUCAACCUGCCCUUCAGAGGGGAACAACAGUUGGAAACGACUGCUAAUACCGCAUACUGAAGGAGGUGAUUGCGUCUGAUUAGCUAGUUGGGGGGGUAACGGCCCACCAAGGCGAUGAUCAGUAGCCGGGCUGAGAGGGUUAACGGGCACAAUGGGACUGAGGAACGGCCCAGAAUCCUACGGGGAGCAGCAGGGGGGAAUCUUCCGAAAUGGACGAAAGUCUGGCGGAGGAACGCCGCGUGGGUGAUGACGGCCUUCGGGUUGUAAAGCUCUGUUAAUCGGGACGCGGUACCGGAAUAGAAAGCCACGGCUAACUACGUGCCAGCAGCCGCGGUAAUAC
rnacentral:rRNA from 1 species